UGGACUUGAACUCGUUGCGGGCAGAUUGCUGAAGGCGAAGCAUGAGAAGCUCGCCUUUAAGUUCGACGACCUCUUCGUUGAUUUGGUCGGUGGUUUUCUGGCGAAUCUCCUUCAUCUCCUCCUCUCUCUUGGCCAUCAUGACCACCGACGCAGCUGCAGUGCGCGUCCCGGAGCAAGAGAGUGGAACCGAGCAGGUGCUGCGGGGACGGAGCUGGAUGCCAUUGAAGGAUGAUUUUGCGAAUAAUGGCUUCGGAAGAAAGGGAACGGUUGAAGAAGAAGCGGAAGCAGUAGACAGGUU
rnacentral:lncRNA from 1 species